GGCGUGUUGACGGAGUGGUUAUCGUGUAAGACUUGAAUUAAAACUGAUUCCUGUUAUCUUAUGGCUUCGGCCGCGUAGGUUCGAAUCCUGCACACGUCG